rnacentral:rRNA from 1 species
UACAGAGGUCUCAAGCGUUUGUUCGGAUUCAUUGGGCGUAAAGGGUGCGUAGGUGGUGGGGUAAGUCGGAUGUGAAAUCCCGGGGCUCAACCCCGGAACUGCAUUCGAUACUGCCUUGCUCGAGUACUGGAGAGGAGACUGGAAUUUACGGUGUAGCAGUGAAAUGCGUAGAUAUCGUAAGGAACACCGGUGGCGAAGGCGGCUCACUGGUCCGGUACUGACGCUGAGGUGCGAAAGCGUGGGGGAGCAAACAGG